rnacentral:rRNA from 1 species
UACGAAGGGGGCUAGCGUUGCUCGGAAUCACUGGGCGUAAAGCGCACGUAGGCGGACUCUUAAGUCGGUGGUGAAAUCCUGGAGCUCAACUCCAGAACUGCCUUCGAUACUGAGAGUCUUGAGUCCGGGAGAGGUGAGUGGAACUGCGAGUGUAGAGGUGAAAUUCGUAGAUAUUCGCAGGAACACCAGUGGCGAAGGCGGCUCACUGGCCCGGUACUGACGCUGAGGUGCGAAAGCGUGGGUAGCAAACAGG